rnacentral:rRNA from 1 species
UUGCUACAAGGCCCGAAAUAAGAUUUUAAUUGAAUGCUAAAAGAAUGGAAAUUUAAAAAAAAACUUUUUUAAAAAUAAAAAUUGAAUUUUUUUUAAUUUGUGCAAAAACAAUUAUAUUUAUUAAAGACAAGAAGACCCUAAGAAUUUAAGAUUUUACAAUUAAAAAGUUUUUUUUUAAAAACUUGGUUGGGGGGAACCAAAAAAAUUAAAAACUUUUUAAAAAUUAAAUUGGUCUUUUUUUAAUAAACUAAUGAAUUAAAUACUCUAGGGGUAACAGGGGAAUAAUUUUUGAUAAAACUUAUUGACAAAAAAAUUUGCGACCCCGAUGUUGGAUUAAGAAUCUUUUUUAAAGAAAAAAAUAAAAAAAAAAAAUUGUUCCACUUUUAAAAUCCCACUUGAACUGAGUUCCCACCGGGG